rnacentral:tRNA from 1 species
GGUGGCUCAGUAGUAGGGUGCUUGCCUUGCAUGCAUGAGGCCCUGGGUUCAAUUCCUCAGCACCA